UACGAGGGGGGCGAGCGUUGUUCGGAAUUACUGGGCGUAAAGGGCGCGUAGGCGGACAGUUAAGUUGGGGGUGAAAGCCCGGGGCUCAACCUCGGAAUUGCCUUCAAUACUGGCUGUCUUGAGUGCGGGAGAGGUGUGUGGAACUCCGAGUGUAGAGGUGAAAUUCGUAGAUAUUCGGAAGAACACCAGUGGCGAAGGCGACACACUGGCCCGUUACUGACGCUGAGGCGCGAAAGCGUGGGGAGCAAACAGG
rnacentral:rRNA from 1 species